rnacentral:rRNA from 1 species
UGUCCAGACUCCUACGGGAGGCAGCAGUAGGGAAUUUUCGUCAAUGGGGGAAACCCUGAACGAGCAAUGCCGCGUGAGUGAAGAAGGCCUUCGGGUCGUAAAGCUCUGUUGUAAGAGAAAAACGGUAAUGAUAGGAAAUGAUCAUUAAGUGAUGGUAUCUUACGAGGAAGCCACGGCUAACUACGUGCCAGCAGCCGCGGUAAUACGGAGGGUGCGAGCGUUAAUCGGAAUUACUGGGCGUAAAGCGCUCGUAGGCGGUAGGUCAAGUCAAGGGUGAAAUCCCCGCGCUCAACGUGGGAACUGCCUUUGAAACUGGCAAACUGGAGUGUGUGAGAGGAUAGUGGAAUUCCAGGUGUAGGAGUGAAAUCCGUAGAUAUCUGGAGGAACAUCAGUGGCGAAGGCGACUAUCUGGCACAUAACUGACGCUGAGGAGCGAAAGCGUGGGUAGCAAACAGGAUUAGAUACCCCGGUAGCA